rnacentral:rRNA from 1 species
AUUGAACGCUGGCGGCAGGCCUAACACAUGCAAGUCGAGCGGAGCGGCGGACGGGCGAGUAAUGCCUAGGAAUCUGCCUGGUAGUGGGGGCUAACGUCCGGCAACGGGCGCUAAUACCGCAUACUCUCAGAUGAGCCUAGAUGGGAUUAGCUAGUUGGUGAGGUACAGGCCUACCAAGGCGAGGAUCCGUAACUGGUCUGUGAGGAUGAACAGCCACACUGGAACUGAGACACGGUCCAGACUCCUACGGGAGGCAGCAGUGGGGAAUAUUGGACAAUGGGCGAAAGCCUGAUGCAGCCAUGCCGCGUGUAUGAAGAAGGUCUUCGGAUUGUAAAGCACUUUAAGUUGGGAGGCGUGACCGACAGAAUAAGCACCGGCUAACUUCGUGCCAGCAGCCGCGGUAAUAC